CUCAAAUGUUGCCAAGGGUGGAGGUUGCACAACUGCUCUGAGCAGCCUUUAUCCAAGCUUAACAACUCUCCUUGCAAGGACCCAGUGUCUGCUGAAUAGGAACAUCCAAGUGACUUCAAAGGCAGCUGGACUAUGGCCUAGGCGUUUCCCAUGGGGGCUUUCACAAGGGAUGCAGAACUCUGCAGUCACCUGCUGCUCCCAAGGAACCAGAUGUUCGUGCAGCGUGCUUGCUGCCGGCUGAGCUCUGAAUACAUGGACCUCUGCUGGGAACUCACUGAAGAUUUCCUAAAAUGCUGUUUGUUUCAGCACGGGUGUCACAAAGUUGAGGAAUGAAUCCAAAUUUGACCCUCAGGAGGCAAGGAGCCUGUAGAAUGGAAUUGGACCCUACUGCAUAAAGAAUUGUAAAAGUAUGGAAGAUGGUUCCCUUUCAAUGAGCUUACAGCUGGGUACACAAGACCUUUUGAGAAGAAGUGGGAAAGAACUAGGUAAGAAGUAGCAGUCAGUGGUUACAGCAUCUUGGUUGCCGUAUUACAUCAGGUUUGGUGUUUUGCCAUUUUAGCAUUUGCCAUUGGGCUCGAGGAGGAUUUUGAAGAAAGACAAAAUGAUUUGUACCUGUGAAGCGGCUGGAAGAAAGCAUGGCAGUGCUUCUUGACAAAUGAGCAGGCAGCACAGUCUGGCAGCAUGGGCAGGGAGGUGGGUGAGGAUGCAGCAGUGGCAAACCUGAGAGAGUCUGUGAUGUCCCUGAAGGUGAAGUUGGUAGCAACAAUUAGGUGUGACUGAAAAUGGAGAGCUAGCUGAGAGAGAUAAAGAAAAGGAGGAAAGGGUCAGUCAGAAGAUGAUGAUGAUGAUCUUAUAACAGUACUCUCAAUUGACCUAAACAAGCCAAGAUUGCAUUUGCCAGGCCAAGGAAGCUCCUGUAAAGACAAAAUGUGUGAGGCUCCUGUUAGGACAUGAGAUGGGUGCCUAGAUAUGAAUAUUUAGGUGCAGAUGUGGGUAAGAAAGUCUGUAAUUUUCAAACUAUUCUGCAAAAUAAAAUUGGCAAGAUUUACAUGUAAUCAGGGUAAGAGAAUCUCUGGAGGGCUCUGAUUCUAGGCAGUUUUCAAACUUUUCUACCUCUGUAUGCUAGUGAGACAGCCAGGUACCAGGUAACAAAGUAGAGAGAAGCAUUUUUGUAAUAUUUUAGUGGUUGGACAAGGAGCACAAUUACUUGUAGAAGGUCAAGAGGUAUUGAGGAAGAGUACGAGCUGUGAUCUUAAAAGUCAUUUCUUUUGGAGCACUAAGUAAAUGUUUCUCCUACCAAGAAAAAUACCCCAUAAAAUCACCUUUUCUUUAUCCUUGUGUGAAAGUUGAAUGACAAGCGUAUGAAAAGAUUCAAGAAUGAAAUUUAAGGAAAUUGAGAAAACAUAUAGAUUAAAGAUAAAAGUAUGCAUUUGGGUAAUCACUUAGGACUUAUUUCAUAAGAUUUUUAAUGAAUAUGAAAAAAACAAUCUCAGUUUUAUGGUUAGCUCUUUAACUCGUGUAAAUAUUGAGUCAAUCCGAUACACAGGCGUUGAGAUCAAUGUUUUUAGUACUACACCGCCCGAGAACUGUUCACAUGGAGUAAUGAUGACCUCUUGUGGUCACACGGUUAAAUUUCACAUCCCGUUUAUUAAGGAGUUUGACUUUUUAUUGAAUUUGUGCAAACCAAAAGUUACGGCAGUGUGCUAGCCUACAGGGAAGUACCGUAUUUUCACUCUUUAUGUUAACUUAAGUACAGAGACGAAAAAUUCUGCAUUAGAUGGUUGGUGAAAAAUGUAUUCCUUUCUUGCAUGUAAAUAAUCUAACUUACGUUCAGGUUGGCUUGUGUUUCUAACAAUACUUCAUGCUCAGUAUGUUCCCUAAGAGUUAGAAAAUUAUCUAUAAUAAUACAAAACAUUUAUGUUAUUUAAGUUUAAGCUGUUCAUGUUCAACUAUAAUCUGAAAGUUAAAACUCUUUUGACUGGCUUGAAACUGGGAUUAAGCCCUCCGUGGGAUUGAGAAGACAGUAGAAAAAUUUCUAAUUCACUAUAUUGGUGAAGGAGCACAUCUAAACCUUGGAAUAAUCUUGGGAAGCAAGUCUUUGUUCAGAACAUGGAUAUAGGCUUUGUUCCCAUUGGGUAUCAUUGUAACUCAGAGCAAAAUUCAGAGGCUGAACUGAGGUACUUGGAGGCAUAUAUUUCUGGUGGCUGAUGCUAGCACAAUGCAAGGAUCUUGGGCUCCAAGAUUUAAGACAGUCACUUGUGGAAGGUAGUAUAACACGAACUGGAAGCAACAAAGGGGAAAGAUCCCCUCACACUGAUUUAUCGUAGGGCUUUUCGUACCUUCCAGUGUGUUACCUUGUUUUAGCCAUACAGAAGUUGGAUGCUGUUCUGGAUUGUAUGGCUUCUAAAAUCCAUCCAUUUCCAAGGUCCUGUGAAUAAGUCACCGUGUUGAGCAUCAGAAAAAAUAGAACGCCAGAAGAAAACAAUUUUCUUUCUGUACAAAUCACUCUGCUACACAUGAAGGUAGCAUAGAUAGUUCCUAAAUGAAGAGAAGAUGUUGCCACUAUCUGUGGUACUGCAGCAUACCAAGUAUGUGAUUUGUUUAUUUUCCACCUACUCUAGUGGCUGUGUCUCCAGGGCUAGUGGGCUCAGUGUUCUAGUGGCAUUACCCAGCCAGUUGUCCAGGACUAAUCAUGGCCCACAGGACCUCUGUGGUCCUGCAGUUCAGAAAGACAGAGUAAUGCUGCAGUAUUGCUACUUCUUGGAAGCUUGCAGCUUACUUUAAAAUGCUGCGAGGGAACAGAUAUUGGUCCAAUCUCUGGCAUCAGGCAAAGCAGCCUGAAGCAACUUAUGAGAGCAGACAGUUCCUCAGGGCGAUGACCCACAGCCACAGAUGAGCUCUGAGGAUGUCCAUAAAAUUCCUCACACAGAGGAACUGGCCACCAGGUACCACCUAACUGCCCUAAAAGUUCGAAAUAUAUUCACAGAGGAAGAGGAGCAUUUUUAUGGUGUUGGAUUUUUCCUUCUGCUUUAAAAUAGAGAGGGAAGAUCAAGACAAUUUUUGCUCCGAGAGAAGACACUCAUCCAGAAGACCUUUCAGUAACACAGAAGGUGCCAAUAAAUAGUAAAAAUUAAAGCAAGCAAACAACGACAACAGAAAACAGUUGAGCAUUGGCACAAAACUCACAAGUAUAACUGUCUCUGAAAAUUGCACACAUAGAUACAUCAACAAUCAUAUGAUCUUCCACCACUCUUAAGAGUGUUGAAUAAUUACUUUCAAGAAUGUAAAGUAAAUUUCUCUUUGCCCCUCCAAUGCAGAGCCCUAACUUGACCCUGAGAUGAGGAGAGGCUGUGAGGUUUCUCAUUCCUUGGGGUGGAGAGGAGAGCUCUGCUUUCUCUGGCCACUUGGGAGGUCCUAGCAGACUGAAGGGUUGAGGGCUUCCUGAUAAAUCUUUCAAGCCUCCUGUCUUGCAAAAACUUGCCUAAAGGCUGAUUUUCUAAUAGCUGAUUUUCUUUAAGCUGGACUGUGAAAGGCUUGAAAUCAGAUAAAUAAAAUAUUUCUCUUGGGUCUCUCCAGACUAUUUGGAAGCAAGCAGGCAUUUGGGAAGAGAACUUUUUGGACUACUUGUUGACUUAUACGUGUCAGAUUCAUGAACUGGUAGGUGCAUUCAAUUACCAAACUGAGUGCUCUGUUUAGAACAAAAGCAUUCGAGGCAAAGAAACCAGAACAAGGCCAUGCUAUGCCUAUGAAGGAACUUGGGUACUUUUAUAAAUGCAUAUUUUACAUUUAUAUUUGUUUUUGUCUUCUGCAAUAUCAGCCUUCCCACCUAUUGAAAUGUUUUGCUGUUUUUUAAUUAAUGGAUUGGAUAUUCAGAGGAAAACAGUUUAUAACAGAAGUGGUAUUUGCCUGUGUUCAUGGGUAGCUUCAGAGUCUGCCAAUGAAUUAGUACAAAUCUACUUUGAAGAUCAAAUAGUAGUAUCUAAAGUUUGAGACGUGUAAUGGAGUAGAAGCCCAAUGCAAAUUCUUGAAACGCUAACUAGUUGAAAAGUUACAUUUUUUAAAAAAUGUCUCAUAAAUCAUGGACCUAGGAGUGAUAUUUAGUAUUAAAAUCAAUAUUAACAAUUUAAAUGUUAAUAACAUCAUUAGUGUUGUAAAAAAAUCGGAAUGGGGAAUCAUAAUGGAUUCUCUUACAGGAAUCCUAAUUAGACUUUGCAGUCUUCAACAAAAACAAACAAACCAUGCUGACUGCAGAAAAGCCUUUUCUUCUCCCAAGACAAUGUUAUAAUGAACCAUUAAAUUGACUUGUAUGACAACAAAACUUUUAGUCUCUUUGCAAAAAGAAGCUUUUAGACAAGAUACUGACUAAUGCAUAUGCCAAAUAAAGGUGCAGAGUCAUAAAGGGAUUCGAGUUUUAACUGUCAGACAAAAGGCAGCACUAUUUCAAACUGCUGUGCUCAAUUUUAUGUAACAAACAAACAAAAAGAUUAGAACUAGAAUUUGAUGAGCAAACUUCCUUGAACUGCUUAUUUGCUAAAAGUACAUAUAAAUCUUUCAUCAGUUCUUAUACUGCAUGGACCAUCUUUCUGUCAUUCUAAUUGCAGUGAUAAACAACCAGUAAAUGUACGAGAUAACAGGACAAGAUACAACAGCUAGGACUAUUAUCUAAAAUUUAAAUGCAUUCUCUGAAAUAUUCAACUGUUAAAUCCAGAACACUCAGUUUUCGAAGGCAAGUCUUAAAGGAGGAAAAGUACAAAGGGAAUGAGAAGUGAUAAUAGCCCCAAACCAAUAAAAACUAUCUCAGUUCUAUUGAAUUUUAAAUAACAUCUAUUUGUACUUUUUUCUUUAACUGUGUUCAAAGCCUUCAUAGGCUCUUCAGAGAUCAGGUAAGGAAUAUCCUUCCGCUAAAUUUAAAGAAGGAAUCCAUAAGGAAAAUGAAAAAAAAAAAAAAAGCAAAAUUCUGGGUUUUCAUCUUUUUCAUGUGCUUGGCAUCCUUAGAAUU